GUGGGGAAUAUUGCACAAUGGGGGAAACCCUGAUGCAGCGACGCCGCGUGAGCGAAGAAGUAUUUCGGUAUGUAAAGCUCUAUCAGCAGGGAAGAAAAUGACGGUACCUGACUAAGAAGCACCGGCUAAAUACGUGCCAGCAGCCGCGGUAAUACGUAUGGUGCAAGCGUUAUCCGGAUUUACUGGGUGUAAAGGGAGCGUAGACGGCUGUGUAAGUCUGAAGUGAAAGCCCGGGGCUCAACCCCGGGACUGCUUUGGAAACUAUGCAGCUAGAGUGUCGGAGAGGUAAGUGGAAUUCCCAGUGUAGCGGUGAAAUGCGUAGAUAUUGGGAGGAACACCAGUGGCGAAGGCGGCUUACUGGACGAUGACUGACGUUGAGGCUCGAAAGCGUGGGGAGCAAACAGGAUUAGAAACCCUAGUAGUCCC
rnacentral:rRNA from 1 species